rnacentral:rRNA from 1 species
UAAUACCAGCACCCCGAGUGGUCGGGACGAUUAUUGGGCCUAAAGCAUCCGUAGCCGGUCCCACAAGUCCUCCGUUAAAUCCAACUGCUUAACAGAUGGGCCGCGGAGGAUACUAUGUGGCUAGGAGGCAGGAGAGGCAAGCGGUACUCAGUGGGUAGGGGUAAAAUCCGUUGAUCCACUGAAGACCACCAGUGGCGAAGGCGG